rnacentral:rRNA from 1 species
AGGAUAAACGCUGGCGGCGUGCAUGAGACAUGCAAGUCGAACGGACACUUGGGGCUUGCUCCAAGUGUUAGUGGCGGACGGCUGAGUAACGCGUAGGUGACCUGCCCCGAAGUGGGGAAUAACUGCCCGAAAGGGUGGCUAAUACCGCAUGUGGUGGUGUGUUCAUUCACACCAGUAAAGCCGCAAGGCGCUUCGGGAGGGGCCUGCGUCCGAUUAGCUCGUUGGUGGGGUAACGGCUCACCAAGGCGACGAUCGGUAGGUGGUCUGAGAGGACGAUCACCCAGACUGGGACUGAGACACGGCCCAGACUCCUACGGGAGGCAGCAGUCGGGAAUUUUGCGCAAUGGACGAAAGUCUGACGCAGCAACGCCGCGUGAGGGAUGAAGGCCUUCGGGUUGUAACCUCUUUUAUCAGGGAAGAUAAUGACGGUACCUGAUGAAUAAGUCACGGCUAACUACGUGCCAGCAGCCGC